GCUCCUAAAGGAUAACAGUAAUCCAUUGGCCUUAGGAACCAAAGACUCUGGGUGGCAACUCCAGGUAGCAGCU
rnacentral:tRNA from 1 species